GAAACCGGGGGUAAUACUGCAUAUGUCCUCGAUGACAUAAGUCGACGAGGGCAAAGGCGGGGAUUCUUCGGAACCUGUCGCCUUUGGAUGGGCCCGCGUCCGAUUAGCUUGUUGGUGGGGUAACGGCCCACCAAGGCUUCGAUCGGUAGCCGGCCUGAGAGGGUGAACGGCCACAUUGGGACUGAGACACGGCCCAGACUCCUACGGGAGGCAGCAGUGGGGAAUAUUGGGCAAUGGGGGAAACCCUGACCCAGCGACGCCGCGUGGAGGAUGACGGCCUUCGGGUUGUAAACUCCUGUCAGGUGGGAAGAAAAGCCUCGUGGCUAAUAUCUACGAGGAAUUGACGGUACCACCAAAGGAAGCCCCGGCUAACUCCGUGCCAGCAGCCGCGGUAAUACGGAGGGGGCAAGCGUUAUUCGGAUUUACUGGGCGUAAAGCGCACGUAGGUGGCAUGGUAAGUCACAGGUGAAAGCCCUCGGCUCAACCGAGGAACUGCCUUUGAAACUGCCUUGCUUGAGUCCGGGA
rnacentral:rRNA from 1 species